rnacentral:lncRNA from 1 species
UAUAUAUUUGUUAUUAUUUUAAUUCAAUCGUAAGACAUAGCUCUUCGAAGAUUUUUAGGGUAGGUGUCUACCGAAUGGAUGUACUUACUUUCGUUGUAUUAGAAGGGGAAAAAACUGUUAUUUCUGAAGAUCUUGGUAAAAUUUUGCCUUUAAAAUUGAUGAGAUAAAUCUCUCCCGGCCUGUAGAUUGGCCAUCACAGGUAGAUUUUGAUGAAAACUCAUAAUUCACUUUUCAGCUCGUUCCAAGCCUUAUGUCAAAAUAAUAAUGGAGGUAAAAAAUAAAUGAUAAUAAUAGAUUUUGAACAAUAAUAAAUACCUAAUAACUAUGCAUAGGGUCCUAAGAUCCUCAUACUCUUUCUAAGGCUUUUUUCAUUCUCUUCUUGUCCUAUCUCCUAGGUCGUAUGCAGUUGAGCCUGAAGAAGAACCACGCAGGAAUAAAAAGUCCUAUGCAGAUGAGCUUGAUGAAGAACCUCGCAGGCAUAAAAAGUACCAUGCAGAUGACCCUGAAGAAGAACCCCGCAGGCAUAAAAAGUCCUAUACAGAUGAGUUAGAAGAAGAACCUCGUAGGCAUAAAAAAUCCUAUGCAGAUGAGCCUGAAGAAGAACCUCGUAGGCAUAAAAAGUGAGUAGUAUUACCUCUCAUUUGUCCCAAUUUAUCAUUUCCUCAUUACUUAACUUUUUUCAGCCAGUUAUGCUCAAAACUAUUUUCAAUUACUUUAACUUUAAGUAGAUUAAUUUCAAAUAGUCAUGACACUAUUUGUUACGCAGCAAAAAAAUUGCAAGCUUUUGGAGUAGUUGUAAGAUGUCAUGACCAUACCAGACAAGAUGUUUACUCAUGACGUCCAAUACGGUGUCAUUUUCGACUCCCAUGAUCUGACGCACUUUAUCAUUGUGGAACCGAUCUCUUCUAGAUAUUCCAGCUGACCUUUUCCAGAUAUCCAUCUCCGUUGCUCUCAGCAUACCCUGUGUCCUUGUGUCCUGUGUUCCAUGUAAAUACUAAGCACAAAAAAAGGGUAUGUUUGCAGAAUAAAAUCUUGAUUAGUCCCUUUAGGUUUUUGCCGCUUAAUUAAAAUGAACACCAUUCGUUUGACUUUCGGUAUGUACACUUGUUGAAGGUAGUAAUUCUUUUUUAAAUCCUUUUGGGGGUUUUGAUCCGGUUCUUAAUUAAUAUUAACCAGUUUGAAAGUUUGUCCAUUCUGAAGUUCAUGUCUUAAACACCAAGAUUUAGAAUCAUUUCUAACUGGAUUCCAAGAAAUACAUGAUAGAGAAGAUUGCCUCACAGUACUGUAGCUAUACUGUAACUGUAGAGCUGUUACAAAAGUGGAAUUUUAAAAUCAAAAUAUAAACUACUGUUCUGAUUUGUGGCUAAUAGUCGUAUUUUUUCUUCUCGCUUCUAGGUCUCGUCAUGAAGAGCCCGAUGAAGACCCAUUGAAACAUAGAAAGUAAGUGUCUCUGAUGGUUAAUUUUUUUAUCAGCACUCGAAAUGAGUAAAUCCUGAAUUGACUCAGGAUGAAGGAAAUGUGGAAUUCUCUUGCCACAAAAUAGUGGUUUGAAAUUACUUUUCCCUUGCAUGUUGGAAGCUAGUUCAUCCAUGGCCAUUAUGAUGGUAUGAUCACCAUCCCACCAUCCAACUAACUAAGGCAGCUCUGGGGAAUUACUUUUAUAGAACUUCCUUUUAAUUGAUCAAGUUUGAUCAUUUAAUCGGCGUAGAUUUAUCAUUCACCAUUGAAGUGACUAAUUUCUUCCUCAUCGUAUAUUUUUUUGUCAUCAUUUCAUAAUUUAUGAAUUUUGAGAGAAUCUCUUCAUAUAAGGUUAAUGGGUCUUGGAUCUUCUUGAGAAGAUCAUGCUGUGUAUAGCCACACUAACUCUCAUCUCAUCAAGAUUUUAUCCAUCAUUAAGAACUAUAUCAUUCUUUUAACCUGUUUUAUUUAUUGUACAUAAUGCUC